rnacentral:misc_RNA from 1 species
GAUGAAGAACGCAGCGAAAUGCGAUAAGUAAUGUGAAUUGCAGAAUUCAGUGAAUCAUCGAAUCUUUGAACGCACAUUGCGCCCCCUGGUAUUCCGGGGGGCAUGCCUGUUCGAGCGUCAUUUCACCACUCAAGCCUCGCUUGGUAUUGGGCAACGCGGUCCGCCGCGUGCCUCAAAUCGUCCGGCUGGGUCUUCUGUCCCCCAAGCGUUGUGGAAACUAUUCGCUAAAGGGUGUUCGGGAGGCUACGCCGUAAAACAACCCCAUUUCUAAGGUUGACCUCGGAUCAGGUAGGGAUACCCGCUGAACUUAAGCAUAUCAAUAAGCGGAGGA